GAAUUCGCCCUUAGAGUUUGAUCCUGGCUCAGGACGAACGCUGGCGGCGUGCCUAACACAUGCAAGUCGAACGGAGAUGUUUAUUUCGGUAGACAUCUUAGUGGCGCACGGGUGAGUAACGCGUGAAUAACCUGACCCGAAGAGGGGGAUAACACCUGGAAACAAGUGCUAAUACCGCAUAAGACCACGGACCGGCAUCGGUCAGAGGUCAAAGGAGGAAUCCGCUUUGGGAGGGGUUCGCGUCCCAUUAGGUAGUUGGUGAGGUAACGGCCCACCAAGCCGACGAUGGGUAGCCGAGCUGAGAGGCUGAUCGGCCACACUGGAACUGAGACACGGUCCAGACUCCUACGGGAGGCAGCAGUGGGGAAUAUUGGGCAAUGGGCGCAAGCCUGACCCAGCAACGCCGCGUGAAGGAAGAAGGUUUUCGGAUUGUAAACUUCUGUCCUAAGUGACGAAGGAAGUGACGGUAGCUUAGGAGGAAGCCCCGGCUAACUACGUGCCAGCAGCCGCGGUAAUACGUAGGGGGCGAGCGUUGUCCGGAAUGACUGGGCGUAAAGGGCGUGUAGGCGGGAAGACAGGUCAGAUGUGAAAUGUCGGGGCUCAACCCCGGAACUGCAUUUGAAACCGUUUUUCUUGAGUAUCGGAGAGGCAGGCGGAAUUCCUAGUGUAGCGGUGAAAUGCGUAGAUAUUAGGAGGAACACCAGUGGCGAAGGCGGCCUGCUGGACGACAACUGACGCUGAGGCGCGAAAGCGUGGGGAGCAAACAGGAUUAGAUACCCUGGUAGUCCACGCCGUAAACG
rnacentral:rRNA from 1 species